rfam:Apis mellifera strain DH4 unplaced genomic scaffold GroupTn193, whole genome shotgun sequence.
GCCAACGACCAUACCACGUAGGAACUACUGGUUCUCGUUCGAUCACCAAAGUCAAGCUACGUCGGGCACGGUUAAUACUUGAAUGGGUGACCGCUUGGGAACACCGUGUGUUGUUGGUU